rnacentral:rRNA from 1 species
GGGUCAGUAGGUUGGUCGUGCCACCGGUACGUACUGGUCUCACUGAUUCCUCCUUCCUGAAGAACCUUAAUGCCAUUAAUUUGGUGUUGCGGGGAAACAGGACUGUUACUUUGAAAAAAUUAGCGUGUUUAAAGCAGGCUAACGCUUGAAUACAUUAGCAUGGAAUAAUGAAAUAGGACGAUCGAUCCUAUUUUGUUGGUUUCUAGGAUUGACGUA